GAACUGAACUGAUACUGCAAUAAAAGUUAUGUGAAUGUAAUCUCUCUCAAAAUAUCUUACUGUACAAAUUGAAUGUCUCUUCCAUCUUAACUCGGCACUUACUACGUGUGGUGGCUCUAACUUCUGCAGUUUGAGGUGUGACAGCAAAACGAGCACGGAUUCCUUUUUCCCUUCUCACAAUUUCACGGAUAGAUUUGUUCUUUCUGUAGCUCCUAACAACCUCCGCAUAUGAUUUUUCCCACUUUCCUCAUUAAGUAGAAACCUUUCCCCUUUUCACUCAGAGCACUUCCGUCUUUGGUAUAUCCACCCGAAUCGCCAGCAUCACCACUCUUGCAUUUUGGGGACAUUACUAAAUAAAAGUGACUUGAACUCAAGCCCCAGAUUAUCACAGCUGUUGAUUUGAUACCCAGCCUGCUACAAAGUAACCAAUGGGCGGAUGUGCUGGACCUAGAGCUGAUCCGCUUCUGGGCGGAAUUUAAAACUUCGCGCGAUUUCAUCACACUGCUCAGUGGUGCGUGAUUUAAAACGUAAGGAUUGUUUAUUUCUGGAUUUGCUAUUUAAUAUUUCCUGUUCGUAGUUGACCGUGGGUAAUGGAAACCUCCGAGAGCCAAGCUUCAGAUCUUCUGCUGAUGCCUGAAACACUUAAACUGGCCACACACAUCUGUGUUCUAAGAUCCGAGAUUGAACAUGGAAGAUCCUUCAUAUUGUGUGCCUAGAUGCUUUCACCCGUGAGGAGGCAUGGUUAGCCUGGGAUCUCCAUCUUCAACAGAGAUGCUCCAGAUAAACUCUUCUUUUAAGUAGAGUUUGGUCUAUACUGCAGGUACAAUUUUGUUGUCAGCUUAAAUCCAAUAAGUAAUCAAUCCAGUGUUGAGUAAGCAUCUCCAUGGGGAGGAAAGUGUGCUGGAUGGUGAUGGAAGAAGACUGUCUCUGUACAUAUCAUGUAAAACAUCUCACUGCAGUUUAACAAUUACACAGGCAUGCACGCUAAGUCGCUUCAGUCGUAUUUAACUCUUUGUGACUCUAUGGACUGUACUCACAUGCUUAAUUAAUUUGCUUUUUACCUUUACCUUGUGAAGCAAAUAUCCUUUUAUUACACUGAGACGUAAACUGAAACCAGGUCACAUAAGCAGUAAGUGCCAGAGAUGGGAUUUGAACCAAGACUUACCCACCAAUUCAGAUCUCCUGUUCACUUGCUGAUAAACAGGAGACCCUAGGUUCAUUUCCAGUGGUGCCUUGACUGAGCAUCCGGCUCUCUUUUGGGCUUCCCUGGUGGCUCAGAUGGUAAAGACUCUGCCUGCAAUGCAGGAGACCUGAGUCGGGAAGAUACC